CGACUCAGCCUUCCUCCACCCGGCACGGUCACGUGAUGCACCUGACUCCCCUGUGGUUGCAACCGGGACCUGGACUUACUACAGCUCACAGUUCAGUGCAAGCCUUGGGCGUGUGUCAGGGCAGAGAAAGUAGAUUCAAACAUACGUAAGAAGUCUGUCAAACACAAGAAAAUGAAGCACGGCUGGCUGGCUGGCUGCCUGCGUGAUCACCAUGACAGAGUUAACUGAAGCCUGGGGAGCUCUGACUCAGGGACAGAACUCAGCUGACAGUCAAUGCAUUGCUCCGGUGCCUUCGGAUUCGUCGGCCCUCUCUGAAGCCUGGUUCCUGAUGGAUUCUGGGAGUUUGACAACCGAUAUGGAUGUUAUUCUUCAGUGUUUUUUUUUUUUUUAAAUCUACUCUUCUGGGGACUUCCUUUAUGUUCAGUGGUAGAAGGGAGAGUAAAGCAUA